GAAACAACAUAGACGUCCCUCAAUUCAGACAAGACAAACGGAUGCCAUCUUGUUAACCUGCUAACCAUUCUGGCUCUUGAUCAUUCUCUCCACCCUCCGGCCCUCCUGACUCAUCUCCACUGUGUCUCCCUGUGGUAUCCAUGGGGCCCAGCGAGCAGCGGGACAGAGGGACUCAGCGAGGGGCCCCGUGUUGAACCAGGAAGCAGUCUGUGGGGAUCCAUGCUAUUAGUCAGUGGCAGAUAAUUUGAUUGACCAGUGUUUAAAUGUAGACCUGUAUGUGUGAAAUAGUCUCCCAGGGAAAAUAACAUUUGUGAUCAAAGACAAAGCUACUGUGAUGAAUAAUGCAUGAUUUCAUAAAUGAAUGAUUUCUGUGUUGUCACAGAAGGGCCCCCAGUUCUGUGGAAGACGGAAGAGAUCUUACAAUUACCAUUUUCAAGCAUUUCAUUUUAGCCUGAGAACAUAAGGUGCAUGACAGUUUGAAACUGCGUGAGGCACACCGCAACAUCCUCCGAUUCUCUGCGAAUAAAAUGACAUGCACAUCCUUUUUUGCCUGAGGCUUUGAGUUUAGGCAGAUCCCAGUGGGGGCGUCACUAAAUGAACCCAAAAUCUCUCCCACAGUCCCGCUACACCAUUCAUAGCCCCAGUCCACACUGUUCAUCUUCACAGCAAUGAAAUCUCUUGUCUGACUUCGAACACUCCUAACAACAGGCAGCUGUGCAGAGCUUUUAGCCGUAUAUUAUAUGAAAUCUCACUGAUCCACGAUGGCGCCUAUAGAGGUUUGAUGUAUGUAGUGACAGUACCCUAAACCAUUUUGAUUCUCCAGAGUAAUUCACUUCUGCUUCAACGUGCCCUUUCAGCUGCUCAAGUAUGAAUUUCUACCACAAAUGACAUCUCUAAAACAAUAUACAGGAGUCAUAUUUUUCCAAUUCUGGACUCCUACAAAUUGAGCAUGAGAGUAAUUAAAGCACCUG